AAAAAGCUUGAGUAGGGUGCAAUUGUGACAUGAUUCAAGUGUCACAAAGAAGGCGACAAGUCCAUGUGGGCAAGUUAAUAAGGGAUGAUACAAGGUAGAAGAAAAGAACAUCCAUAGCAGCCACUACAUAUAUAUCCUUUGCAAAGUGAAGAAUGAGAUUGUGGUGGUUCAUAGGCUAAUCACAAGUGUAAGCUCAAAGGCCUCUCUCGAACUCACUCUCAUGAGCUCAUCCCAAAUCCAAACACUUGUAUUCAUGUUGGAUGAAGGAGAAGGUGAAGAUCAAGGCUACCAUCUCCAUCUCAAGUGUAAGCUUGUUGUCGGUGUUUUUCCCCCGGGGGGUCACACCAACGAGUAAAUUUGUAUGUGUGCUCCCUUUCCCGGAUGGUGAUGCAAGAAGACACAGAGAUUUAUCCUGGUUCGGGCAAGAGAAGGCCCUACGUCCAGCGGGGGGAGAGAGUUUGUAUUAUCUUGCACCUAAGUGCUUGUACAGGGGCGAAUACAAGCGUGGUAUGAAGUGUGGAGCUCUACUACGUAUGUGUGGCCUUGUGUCGUCGUGUGUUUCCCCGUUCUAUUCCUGAGUCUCUCCUUUUAUAGCUCCAAGGAGAGACCCAGGGUACAUGCGUAGUCGCUAGAGUAGGGGUCGAUAGCCGCAUGGAGCGCUGACCUACUCGAGGCUUCCGUACGGCAUGGCCUCGAGCCGUCCCAUCUUGAUAGCCCGGUGAUGAUUACGCGUGCUCCUGCGUUCGGCCCUGCCCGCCGCCUCGCGCUGGUUCUGAGGUCGCAUGCCGGUACGGUAUGGCGGCGGAUCCGGCGGGGUAGCUGUGGUGUUGUCAGUCGACGCCCAACUUGCCCCUAGGAAGGGACCCUGUUCGGUCGAGGGUCGGACGCCGUGUAAUGUGCUGAUAUCUGGAGCGCUGACCUUGGAGGUCUCGAGGGGGUCCCGAUUAGACGUUCCAUCCUCGUUUCCUGCGUCCUGACACGCCCUGGGUCGUUCGGUGGGAAGGCUGCAAAAAGAUUGAUGGGACGGAAGCCUGUUCCCUAUCACGCCUCCCGUGACCUGUGCGUUAGGUGGGGAAACAUCAGGCGCAUUUAAUGCUCCCGCCCGCGUGCGCGCGUCAGGCGGCGGAUGGCGCCCUCGCGCUCGACGCCCCCCGGUUCGCAUGAGCCUAUUCCGUAUUCGACGGUAACCGGCGCUCGACGCCUGAUCGAUUCGCUCGACGCUAUUUCCGUCUUCGAGGUUACGGCCGUCGAUGGCGGCGCAUAGGUAAGAUUAGAGCGUCGAAUUGAGGGUCUCGACCUGCGUACGGACAAUCUCAUAAUGCGCAUCGCUGAGGGUACCCCUUACUGAUACCCUCGACAGUAGCCCCCGAGCCUCCAUUUGAGCGCUAGCGCUCGAGUGGGGGCUUUGUUUUGCGGUCGAAUUUCCGUGGGGGCGCGCGAGCGACCCCGCGGGGGUAGCCCCCGAGCCCUCGAGGGAGUAUUUAACUCCUUCGAGGGUUAUUUUGCCAAAUUUGCAGAAACGCUGUCAACACCCGUGGUGGAAGGUUCUGUUCGGCUUUGCUUUGCGUGGAGGUUUCGACGUACUCUCGAUAGAGCGAGCGUCUUCCACCCCGGGUUGAGUUCCUAGCGGGUAGUCUAAGUGAGAACCUGUGCCCCUUUCGAGGGGGUCAGCUGUAGCCCGGAGGCGUCCUCAUAAAGCAGGGUCGACGUGGUCGGGGAUACCGGUCUCAUUCGAUAGAGUCCAGCGGCUCGAUGCCUCCCUUCGGGGGGAUUCCUCUCGACUGUCUCGACCCUACCUUAGACAUCGCCAGCGAGCCCUCGAGGCGGGCCUCGAUUUUCGACCACUCGCUGGGGAUCCCUGACUCUUGGCGCUCGAGAUCGGCUGUCGAACCCUUUCGAUGGGCCAGCCAUCGACCUCUCGAGACUAUUGUGGGCGCAUACCUUGGCUUACGAAGUAAAGAAGUGGCCGUGGCGGUUCGCCUUUCUGCCCGUUGGGCGCGCCUUUUUAGGCGGGUGACGUUGCGACACUGUAUCGACGGGGAAUUCGGAGAGUCCGGCCUGUGAGGAGAGAAAGGACUGUCAGACGGCGCAUUUAUGGGGGGAGUUACCUUAUUUCUCGGAUCUGUCCGUUGGCGGACUGCUGGCUAUAAAUACGCCGUCGCGUCGCCGCCGUUCUUCUCCCUUCUGCAUUCUCGCUCUUAUUCUCUUGUUGCCUUUGCUUUCUCGCCGUCUCACGAGCACACGCCUCCUCGAGCUGUAGUGAAUCCACCGUCCCUCCAGCCGAGAUGCCUGUAAGACUCGUCGCCGCCGACGACUGGCGCCCGUCGUCGAUGACGGAGCGCCGGCUGUUAGAGCUUGAGAAAGAGGGACUGCUGCGCCGCCGCACCUCGCUAUCGUCGCCGGAGUAGAUCGCGCCGCCGGCGAGUCACAGGGGGCCUCAGCCGCCUGAGGGCUACGUGGUGUCGUUCGCCAAGUUCCACCGCCACGGUCUGGGCGCGCCCCCGAGCCGCUUCAUGCGGGCCCUCUGCUUCCAUUAUGGGGUCGAGCUCCAGCACUUCUCUCCGAACGCCAUCACCGUAGCAGCGGUUUUCGCCGCCGUGUGUGAGGGCUACCUGGGGAUGAUGCCGCACUGGGAGCUGUGGCUCCACCUCUACAGGGGCGAGCUUUUCCACGCCCCCACCGGAACCACGGGCGUAAGGAAGCCCGUGCGGGCGGGAUGCCUCAAUCUGGUGCAGAAGAUGGGGAAGACGGACAGGCCGCGGGAGUACAUCCCGGUAGGGUUGUCGACCAACCACGCCGGCUGGGACUCCCAGUGGUUUUACCUGCGGAACGACGACAAUCUCCUGCCUUCCUACUCGGGCCGUCUGAUCUUGGAGCGUCCAGCGGACUAGACAUACGGCGUCGUCCAAGCUCAUCAAUCUCGGCUCGACCCCCUCCUCGAUGCCCUGAAGAAGCUUCGCCAGGAGGGUUUGACCGCCGCUCUCGUCCUCUCGGCCGUCCAUCACCGGAGAGUUCUCCCUCUGAUGUCACGACCGUUGAGGAUGGACGAGAUGGGCCCUGGCGUCUCCUCUCGGGACCUCGAGGCGUGUCGGAUGUCCAACGAGGCUCCGGCGGACGACGAAGUCGCGGCCCGAGUCAGGGCUGCAAUUGCCGGUGAUUUUCAGCCAGAGCAUGUUAACGGCUUCCCCAUGAGACCUGACGCAGGCUCGAUCGAUCUGGUACGCUUUCUUCUUGCGCGCAGCCUCGACUCUGGGUUUCCUUUCUCCCCUCUCUUUUUCCUAAGUCCACCUUAGUUUUGGCAGGGUCGGAUUGAUGUCCUGUCCUCGAGGCCUCCGGUAAAGGAGGACGAGGUCGAUCGUGACAAACGGCGCCAAUCUGCCGAAAAGCUAAAGUCUGCGAAGGACUCUGCAAAGAAGGGGGAGAAGAAGAAGAACCUCGACCGCCAAGCAUUAGAGGCGCGUCGAGCCAAAUCCAGGCAGAGGGGGGAGCCUGAGGAAGAAUCCCCCAACGAUGACGACGAUGACGACGAGGACAGCGACGACUCUGAGGGGAUGGCGUCGCGCCUCGAUCGGAUUCUCGAGGGCCCUCCUCGAGGUGACGUCGACGCCCCCCGGACGGAGGCGCCAGAGGAGGGUCCGAGCGGAUCCCGUCGCCCUCGGGCCGACACCCCUCCCGCGACCAAGGCGGGCCAAGACGCACCGCGCCCUCCCCCAGUGCCCCGGGAGAGCAGUCUGGCUAGGCCCCCGGCGUCGGGGCCGCUAACUCGUGGCCGCGCCGCGGCCUCUGAGAAAGGAGAUGCCGGCCGUAGGAGCGCCAGUCCCGGCGCCCGCUAGGCGGGGACCGACGCGCCUAGGCCAGUACCUGCCCUCGAGGGGCCUGGAGCUCUAACGCGGGGUGGCUCGAGGCCCACUGGUCGGGGUAGCGGGAGGCGAGCUGUUCUCCCUGUGGGGUAAGUCUUUUUUAUGUUGCGGUUUUUGUCUUCCCAUUCUUCCACCUUUCCUCAUAUGCCAACCUUUUCUCAGGCUGAAGCGGACCCUUGAGCAGGCCCAGCCGUCCAUGGCAAAGAAGCUCAGAACGGGUGCCGCCUCCAAGGAACCUGGUUCGUAGUUUAUUUCUGGGCGUUGCGAUGUUCCUGUGUCGGUUAUCGUAACGUCUGACCCUUACCCUUUGUUUCGUAGGCUCCUCCAGCUCCCAACCUCCAGCCGGCGUCGAGAGGGCUCCGCCUCGUCCCGCGCCUACUCCGUUGCCGCCGACUGGUGGUGAGGCGCCCCAGACGCAAGCGUCAGAGGGAGCCCCCGAGCCCCCUAGAUUGGGGGUCGAGGGGGAACCCAUCACCAUCAGCGACACGUCUGAUGGUGACGGAGCGUCUGGGGUGCCCGCCCCAUGGAGGAGGAAACAUCGACCCCUCAUGUUAGGGGAUCAACUCCCUGGCCCGCCGGCCUCCGCACCCUCGAGGAGCAGAAAAAGAAGAGGGAGGAGGAUGAACAGCGGGAGCGCGAGGCGGCGCGGCAGCCACAGGAGCAGCAGCAGCAGCAGCAACCCCAGCCGGAGGAGCAACUGCAGCAGGAGCAGGGGGGCCAAGAGGACGAGCCACUCGAGCCCCCGCCUCAAGGUUUGGCCCAACCGGCGCCACUGGCGCCGCAAGAGCCCAGCGAUCAGGAGGAAAAUUUGCCGGUGUAUGGCCCUCCUACCCCAGCGUGGCUCCUUCCGGGGGCGCCUGCCGCGAUCCGGGCAGAGUCGGGGCGAGCGGACGGAGUGGUGGCGCUCGCCUGUAUGAUGCGCACCCCCACCGACCCCGAGUCCGAGAUCAAGAGGACGAUCUACGGCAUGGACGGGAUCGCCCCAGGGUUCCUUCGGGAGCGUCGAGCAUGGGAGGACCACUUUCCCUCUGAGGAGGAUGAGAUUGGGUCGUCAGGGAGCAAGGACGGUACCUGGAAGACGGUGGAUGACGACGGGCGGUUUCCUUGCCUCGCCGACCUGUUCUUGUGCCACGGGGGUUCCCUCGAGACCGUCGAGAACUUUAUCCGCGGCGUCAAGGCGCGGGCUGAUCGGGAGAUGGAGAACUGGUGUCCCGAUCGGAUUCGUAUCCGAGCUUCCACCGACCCGUCCGAGCCCAAUAUCUUCCUCGACGACAAGAAGGAGGUCGAGAAGUGGGAGCAUGUCGAGGAGCUCCGCCUUUGGAUGAAGCAUGUGGUGGGGCUCCUAUCGGACGUCAUCAACAACGGGCUCGGGCCUGCUUAUUUUGUAAGUGUUUCUCGAACUCCAAUUUUCAUGGUGCUUUCUGGUUUCUGUAUUCUAAUCCAUCCGACCCUUGAUUCGCAGGAUAUGAAAGAGACCUCUCGCAUCAAGUCCAGCUUCAUACACGCCACGAGGGGCGGUUGGGAGCAGCUCCCCCUCCUCAAGGAUCAACUCCUCGAGUCGCAGGAAAAGCUCCUUAAAGCUUACAAAGAUCUCAUAGCACUCGAGGAGGAGAAGAAGGCGAGGGAGGCUGCUUUGGCCGAGGCCCGAGAGGCCUCGAAGAAGACGGAGGAGGAGGCGAUGCAGCUACGGGAGCGGGCUCUUACGGUCGAGGAGGCCGCGUCCAGAGCCCGGGAGGAGGCCCUGUCCUACAAGAGCGUCAUUGCGGACCUGGACAAGGAGAAGGGCCUUCUCAAGACCGACCUGGACUCCCUCCGCGAUUCUUUCUAGAAGAUGAAAGUGGCGUACGUGGACAGUGAGGUCGCAAGGGGUGCCGCCGAGGACGUAAAGAAGAAGGCCCUCGAAGACCUCGAGGCGGAGCGGGCUCGAUCCCGCAGUCUCUCUGACGACGUCGAGCGUCUGAAGGGAGAAUUGUUGGAGAAGAGUGGAGCCGUUGCUCAGGCUGGCAGGGUGAUCGAAGAUCUCCGCGUCGCCAAUACUGAGCUGGCGCGCUCCAACAGAGAGAUCGAGCGUGCCAACACCAGAUUGGUCGGCGAGAACACGGCCCUAGAGGAGAGCAUCAAAGGUAUGUUUCCUUUGUCGAAUUUCUUUUUCGAGGUGUGCUUGGUUUUUCCUAAGGUCUCUUUAUAUUGGCUCUUACAGGGCUCAAGGACGAACUCCUGGCCGCCCAAGCCGAGGCUCGCAACGCCAAGGCUCAGCUCGAGGCGGAGGUUGCUUUGAACCGUCGAGUGCGGACGGCGAUAAGUGAUCUCUCGACCUCUUGGGAGGUCGAGCCUAUGGAUGAGUCGAGGGAGGACGCUCGAGGCGACGCCCUGGUCGACCAGUUGUGCUACAUAGGCGCGACGCUGCGAGAUCGGGUGCGGGACGCCCUCCACAUCGGGGUGAAGCGGGCGAUGGCGGUUGUCUGCUCGGGCUUCUCCUACGACAUGGAGGUGGUGUCCCAUGGCUUCGUCACCGACAUCUCCAAGACCGACGCGGAGAACGAGGAGAGGCUCCAUGCCUUGAUCGACGACGCGGAGGCUCCUGGGGAAAGGUUGGCCAAGCUCUUCGAGCCUGAGGUGCUCCCUCCUGAGGCUAGCUCGGGCGGAGGCGAGGGCGGUGAGGAUCGUGCCGCGGACUGAGGCCUGCGAGCCUGCUCAGGGCGCCUGGGGCCCCUUGUAUGAUAUUUUGUUGAUUUUGUUGCUAAGCGAUACGGUGUCUUUUUGUAAUUGUUAAAUGCUUAUUUGUCUUUCCGCUCGAGGUCCUUUUAUUUCUCUUUGUUCCUACGUUUGUAUCCCUUGCUAGAUCUUUCGUCAAAAAACAACCUCGAUUACCUCAAGGGUAAGGAAGUGAGUAGAGUUUCCGUAGCCCGGGGGCGUGGGAGUUCUCCGGCUCGUUAUCCCUCGGCCUUUGGGGGGCUCGAGGCGCCUUAACUACUCGAGCCAUGCAAGGUUUACUAAGUAAGAAAAGAAAACUUCUUGGUUUUUUCGACGCUUGGGGGGGGUCGUCCCCCUGGUAGCCCCCGAGGGGGUGCUGACUAUGAUGGGUCAUGGUCGGCAUCCCCUUUUAACGUCGAGACUAUGACUCGUAACUAUUUUUAGCACAAAAAGAAGUCGCUCGAGAGAAAGACUUUAUUUAUUCACGCGUUCGUUUACAAAGUCUUCGUACAAAAUGUAGGAACGUAAGUUUAGGACUUCUAGGGGUAGAAUCGACGUAGCUGUUCGAUGUUCCAUGCGUUGGUGAAGAUUGCCCCCUUUUCGUCCGCCAACUUGUACGUUCCUGGCUUAAGGACCUCGGCCACCACAUACGGGCCUUCCCAAGGUGGAGUCAGCUUGUGGCGUCCUUGGUUGCUCUGCCGGCGUCGUAGGACAAGGUCGCCUACGUUGAGGUCCCUCUUGCGCACGUGCUUGUCGUGGUAGCGUCGGAGUCUCUGCUGAUAUCUGGCAGAGUUGAGGAGGGCCAUGUCUCGAGCCUCCUCGAGUUGGUCGACCGCGUUUUCUUGAGUUUCUUUGUUCGAUUGCUCGUUGUAAGCCUUGAGUCGAGGUGACCCGUACUCGAGGUCUGUGGGGAGGAUAGCCUCAGAGCCGUAGACCAUGAAGAACGGGGUGUAUUUGGUGGCCCUGCUUGGCGUUGUCCUAAGGCUCCAUAGGACUGAGGAAAGCUCCUCGACCCAUUUCUUGCCGAAUUUCUUCAAUCGAUUGUAGAUCCUUGGCUUGAGUCCUUGCAAAAUCAUGCCGUUGGCACGCUCGACCUGGCCGUUAGUUCGAGGGUGGGCUACUGCAGACCAGUUCACACGGAUAUGAUGCUGAUCGCAGAAAUCCAAGAACUUUCUACCGGUGAACUGGGUGCCGUUGUCGGUGUUGAUGACAUUAGGGAUCCCAAACCGAUGGAUGAUGUCGGUGAAGAAGAGGACGGCCUGCUCGGAGCGGAUGUUGGUGAUGGGUCGAGCCUCGAUCCAUUUUGAGAACUUGUCAAUGGCCACCAGCAAAUGGGUGUAUCCUCCUUUCGCCUUUUGUAGAGGUCCUACUAAAUCGAGCCCCCAUACCGCAAACGGCCAGGUGAUGGGGAUCAUCUGAAGAGCGUGGGCGGGCAGAUGCGUCUGCUUGGCGUAGAACUGGCACCCAUGACAAGAGCGUACGAGCUCGAUGGCAUCCGCCACAGCCGUUGGCCAGUAGAAGCCUUGCCGAAAAGCGUUCCCUACAAGGGUCCGUGAAGCGGCGUGGUGGCCACAAGCCCCCGAGUGCAUGUCAUCGAGGAGUUUUUGGCCUUCUUCUACGGUGAUGCAACGUUGUAAGACCCCCGUCGGGCUCCGUCGAUAUAGCUCAUUGUCUUCGCCAUAGAUCACAUAUGAUUUGGCCCGUCGAGCGAUACGACGAGCUUCUGUCUUGUCUUCUGGCAGCUCGCCGCGGAUAAGGCAGUCGAGGAAUGGUGUGCGCCAAUCGAAUGGUCGACCCGGUCGUCGUUCUAUCUCCAUCAUCUCUUCCACCAUCAAGAGCGUAUCGACAGCAUUGGUUGGUUGGGCGGUGGUGGCGUCGACGCCAGCCCCCGUGCCUAGGUCGACGGAUGGCUCGUGAAGAUCCUUUGAAAAUGCAUCAGGCGGCACUGUGCCUCUGGUAGAUGCGAUCUUGGCGAGUUCGUCGGCUGCCUCGUUGUAGCGUCGAGCGACAUGGACAAGCUCGAGGCCGUGGAACCUGUCCUCGAGUCGACGGACCUCCUUGCAGUACGCUUCCAUUUUUGGGUCGUGGCAGCUCGAGGUUUUCAUUACUUGGUCGAUGACGAGUUGGGAGUCACCUCGGACGUCGAGGCGUCGGACUCCUAACUCGAUAGCGAUCUUGAGACCGUUGACGAGGGCCUCAUAUUCCGCGACAUUGUUAGAUGCGGCAAAAUGAAUCCUGAUUAUGUACCUCAUGUGGACGCCCAAGGGUGAGAUGAACAGCAGGCCGGCUCCGGCUCCAGUUUUCAUGAGCGACCCAUCGAAAUACAUCGUCCAUAGUUCCGCCUGGACCUGGGUCGGGGGGAGCUGGGUGUCCGUCCAUUCUGCGAUGAAGUCUACCAGGGCCUGCGAUUUGAUGGCCUUGCGAGGCGCAUAAGUGAGAGUCUCACUCAUGAGCUCGACCGACCAUUUUGCUAUUCUUCCCGUGGCUUCUUUGCUCUGGAUUAUUUCGCCUAAAGGAAAAGACGAGACCACCGUGAUGGGGUGGCCAAGGAAGUAAUGCUGCAGCUUGCGACGGGCAAGGAUUACGGCGUAAAUCAGCUUCUGGAUUUGGGGAUAACGUGCUUUGGUCUCCAAAAGCACCUCGCUGACGAAAUAUACUGGCCUCUGAACCGGUAACGCGUGUCCCUCCUCCUGCCUCUCGACCACUACCGCCGCGCUGACGACCUGGGUCGUCGACGCGACGUAGAGGAGCAGCGGCUCUGCAGGUUGAGGUGGGACCAGGACCGGUGCCGAGGUCAGCGUCUUCUUCAGUCUUUCAAGUGCUUCCUCGACCUCAGGGGUCCAAGCGAAGCGCUCGACCUUCUUUAGGAGUCGAUAUAAUGGUAAUGCUUUUUCUCCCUGUCUCGAGAUGAAACGGCUCAGAGCCGCCAGGCACCCCGUGACUCUCUGUACACCCUUGAUGUCUCGGAUCGGCCCCAUUUUCGUGAUGGCCGAGACUUUUUCGGGGUUGGCUUCGAUGCCGCGCUGUGAAACGAUGUAUCCUAGGAGCAUGCCUCGAGGCACACCGAAAACGCACUUCUCGGGAUUGAGCUUGAUCCGGCUGGUGCGUAGGCAGCUAAAGGCAAUCUCGAGGUCCUGGAUCAGGUCUCCUCGUCGCUUUGACUUGACGACAAUGUCGUCGACGUAGGCCUCGACCGUUGACCCUAUAUGUUUGCCGAAUACGUGGAGCAUGCAACGUUGAUACGUGGCUCCGGCGUUUCGAAGCCCAAAUGGCAUGGUCACGUAGCAAUACAUCCCAAAAGGCGUCAUGAAAGAGGUCGCGAGCUGGUCGGACUCCUUCAUUUUUAUUUGGUGGUAACCAGAAUAUGCAUCAAGGAAAGAAAGGGUUUCACAUCCCGCGGUAGAAUCGACAAUCUGGUCAAUGCGUGGCAAUGGAAAGGGAACUUUUGGACAUGCUUUAUUCAGACUAGUAUAAUCGACACACAUCCUCAUUUUCCCAUUCUUUUUCUUAACUAAUACAGGGUUUGCUAACCAGUCAGGAUGAUGAACCUCCUUGAUGAAUCCGGCCGUCAAAAGCUUGUGGACUUCCUCGCCAAUGAUCUUGCGCUUCUCUUCGUCGAAUUGGCGCAACCGCUGCUUCACUGGCUUGGAGCCGGCUCGAAUCUCCAAGGAGUGCUCGGCGACUUCCCUCGGUAUGCCUGGCAUGUCCGAGGGACUCCAUGCAAACAUGUCGGCAUUUGCACGGAGAAAGUCGACGAGCACAGCUUCCUAUUAGGGGUCGAGGUCGGUGCUGAUCGUCAGCACUUUGCCGUCGGAGUUGUUGGGCUCGAGCGGGAUCUUCUUGGUUCCUUCCGCCGCUUCGAAGCUGCCCGCGUGGCGUUUAGGCUCAGGAGCCUCAGCGGCCAGGGCCUCAAGCUUCGCGACGAGCUCGGUGGAGCUCUCGACCGCCUCCCCGUACUCGACGCAUUCGACGUCGCACUCGUACGCGUGCUCGAAGGAGGAACUGACAGUGAUGACGCCUUUGGGACCGGGCAUCUUCAGCUUCAAGUAGGUGUUGUUGGGUAUGGCCAUGAACUUGGCGUAGCCCGGGCGCCCGAUGAUGGCGUGGUACGUGCCUCGGAACCCCACCACCUCAAAAGUGAGGGUCUCUUUCCUGAAGUUGGCCGCUGUGCCGAAGCAGACCGAUAGGUCAAUUCGACCUACUGGCAGUGCCUUUUUCCCUGGCACGACGCCAUGGAAACCGCCGGCGCUUGGCUGGAGGCGUCCUCUAUCGAUGCCGAGGAGGUCGAGGGUCUCGAGGUAGAUGAUGUUGAGGCUGCUGCCACCAUCCAUCAGCACUUUCGAGAGUCGGGUGUUGACGAUGAUGGGGUCGACGACGAGCGGGUAGACGCCUGGGGCGACUACCUUGUCAGGGUGGUCUUCUCGGUCGAAAGUGAUAGGAGUGCUCGACCAGCUAAGGUAUUGGGGCACCGCCAUUCUUGCUGCAAAGACUUCGCGACGCUCCCUUUUGCGCUGCCUCGUGGUCAACUGAGUCGAGGGCCCGCCAUAGAUCAUGUAGCAGUCGUGGACGGCGGGGAAGCCGUCGUCAUCUUUGUUGUACUCCUUGCUGCCAGCCUUCUCUUUCUUGGAGUCAUCACGCGUAUCUUUUUUGAACCCCUGACCGUCGAAAUGCUUUCUCAGCAUACGACAGUCCUUGAGUUUGUGGUUGGCGCCUCCCUUAUGGUAAGGGCACGGCUCCUCCAACAUCUUGUCAAAGAUGCCUCCAUCCGGAGGGCCUCGAGGCUUCUUUCGAUCCAUGGCGGUGACAAGGUCGUCAUCGGAAUCUUCCCGGUGGAACUGCCGCACUUUCUGUUUCUUUUUGUUUUUCUUGAGGCCUCGACUGGGGGUCCCAUCUUCAUCGACGGGCUGCUUGCCUUUCCUUCCUUCUGAGCUGAAGAAGGCGCCGACUGCCUCCUCCCCUGCCGCGUAGUUGGCUACUACGUCCAUCAGCUCGUCGACGGUCUGAGGUCGAUUGCGACCUAAUUCCCGCACCAAGUCUCGGCUGGUGGUGCCCGAGACAAACGCCAAGAUGACAUCGUGGUCAGGGAUGUGCGGCAGCACAGUGCGCUGCUUCGAGAAGCGCCGAGCAUACUCCCGAAGAGUUUCUCCUGACUUCUGCUUGCACUUGCUGAGGUCCCAUGAGUUCCCUGGUCGUAUGUAGGUCCCUUUGAAGUUACCCUCGAAGACUCUGACCAGAUCAACCCAGUUGUGGAUCUGAUUGGCAGGGAGUUCCUCGAGCCAUCGACGGGCGGUGUCGGAGAGGAAAAGGGGUAGCUGUCUGAUGAUGGCUCGAUCAUCACCUCGAGCGCCACCUAGCUGAUAGGCCAGCCUGAAGUCGGCCAGCCACAACUCUGGUUUGGUCUCUCCAUUGUACUUCGCGAUGCUGGUCGGGGGUCGAAAUGGACUGGGCAGGGGCAUGCUGCGGAUCGCCCUGCUGAACACCCGUGGGCCUGGUGGCUCGGGAGCCACCCGGUCCUCGUCGCUGUCGUAUCUCCCACCGCGAUGCGCGCUAUAACCGCGCUCUUCCGCGUCUCCGUGCCGGCGGCGUCGAUUUUCUUUGAUGUCGUGCCGCGCGUCGUGUCGAUGUUGACCGUCGACGGGGAGGAUGAGAGCGGUCUUUCUACCUCGAGGGGGAGGUUGUUGUUGGACUGACACCUCCUCUUCGUUUAGAGGUUGUUCGUCGCGCUUCUCCGUGGCAGCUCCUCGCCGUCGAGACGCCGAACUUUCGGCUUGUUGAACCGCCGCCACCUGGAGCAAUGUCUGUACCUCAUCUCGAAUGCGUCGGGCCUGGGAAUUCGACGGCUCUGGCAUAUUACGUAGCAGCAUCGUCGCUGCCACUACGUUCUGGCCCGCUCGUGGGAAACGGCUGACAGGUUGCUCUGGCUCUUAGUCGCCGACGAUCUGUCGAUGAACCUCUCGAGCGCGUCUGCGGACACUUCCGCCCGGCGGGUAGGGUAGGUCUUGCUCGAGGAUUUGCUCGAGCAGGACGAGGCGCUCGCGGUCUUCGUCGAGCUUCAUCUUGAGCUCCCGCAGCUGCGCGAGCUGCGCGGUUCUGUCUUCAUGAGGAGGGGGGUCGACCUGUCCGUCGUUCCCAGGCGUCCUGGGGUCUUCUCGCGCCGCGGGGGCUCGACCUCCCGCGGCAGCAUCCCGGGUCUCGUCAGUAGUUUCUACCGCCCCGUCGAUGUGAUAGCAUUCCCUCGUAGGGUCAUAGCUGUCCGUCUCGGAGUCGGAGUCCGGUUCGGCGGCGUAGAAAUACCCACGUCCUUCCUCUAGCAAUCGUUGCCUGAGGGAGGUGAUCGAGUAUCGUCCGGGGCCUAGACGACGGAGGCCUCGUACUCGGGAAAGGUCCGGCAGUUCGGACGCCGGCCGCCGCGCUUCAGAGCUACGUGGGAGGACCAUUGGUCUUUCUACGUACGUCUGGGCGUUUGGGCAUAUCGCCCUGGCGAGCGACGCCGCGGCGUUGUCCAACCCGAACGACAGUGCCGCCCUUGGAGAGAACAACCCGUGUGGAAGUAGCCUAGCUGCGGUGGGGGGAGAGCACGCGAGACGCGUCCCCUCCCGUCGUCGCGCGGUGCUGAGUCGUCGCGCUUGUUGCUCCGUCACAAGGUGCUGCCGCCUUGUGGCCCACGUCCUGCCUCGCACGAGCUGUUGGUCGUGCUGAAGCAGAGGGGCCGCGGUGGUGCUGUCUGCGCCUCUUCUUAGGCGGGGAGGCGUGGUGGUGAGGGCGUCUCGGGGCCUUCAACCGUGCUGGCGUAACGCGGGCUCCUUCUGGUCCUUUGACUGAGAGCAAGAUCAUGUCGUAGCCGGAGCCCGUAGACAUGAACUCGAGACUCCCAAACCAAAUCACCGUGGAGCGCGGAAACGGCGAGGCAAGAGUAGCCAUCCGGAAAGGAGUGGGAAAUCGAUGAAAAACACGCAGGACCCCUACCUGGCGCGCCAACUGUCGGUGUUUUUCCCCCGGGGGGUCACACCAACGAGUAAAUUUGUAUGCGUGCUCCCUUUCCCGGAUGGUGAUGCAAGAAGACACAGAAAUUUAUCCUGGUUCGGGCAAGAGAAGGCCCUACGUCCAGCGGGGGGAGAGAGUUUGUAUUAUCUUGCACCUAAGUGCUUGUACAGGGGCGAAUACAAGCGUGGUAUGAAGUGUGGAGCUCUACUACGUAUGUGUGGCCUUGUGUCGUCGUGUGUUUCCCCGUUCUCUUCCUGAGUCUCUCCUUUUAUAGCUCCAAGGAGAGACCCAGGGUACAUGCGUAGUCGCUAGAGUAGGGGUCGAUAGCCGCAUGGAGCGCUGACCUACUCGAGGCUUCCGUAUGGCAUGGCCUCGAGCCGUCCCAUCUUGAUAGCCCGGUGAUGAUUACGCGUGCUCCUGCGUUCGGCCCUGCCCGCCGCCUCGCGCUGGUUCUGAGGUCGCAUGCCGGUACGGUAUGGCGGCGGAUCCGGCGGGGUAGCUGUGGUGUUGUCAGUCGACGCCCAACUUGCCCCUAGGAAGGGACCCUGUUCGGUCGAGGGUCGGACGCCGUGUAAUGUGCUGAUAUCUGGAGCGCUGACCUUGGAGGUCUCGAGGGGGUCCCGAUUAGACGUUCCAUCCUCGUUUCCUGCGUCCUGACACACCCUGGGUCGUUCGGUGGGAAGGCUGCAAAAAGAUUGAUGGGACGGAAGCCUGUUCCCUAUCACGCCUCCCGUGACCUGUGCGUUAGGUGGGGAAACAUCAGGCGCAUUUAAUGCUCUCGCCCGCGUGCGCGCGUCAGGCUGCGGAUGGCGCCCUCGCGCUCGACGCCCCCCGGUUCGCAUGAGCCUAUUCCGUAUUCGACGGUAACCGGCGCUCGACGCCUGAUCGAUUCGCUCGACGCUAUUUCCGUCUUCGAGGUUACGGCCGUCGAUGGCGGCGCAUAGGUAAGAUUAGAGCGUCGAAUUGAGGGUCUCGACCUGCGUACGGACAAUCUCAUAAUGCGCAUCGCUGAGGGUACCCCUUACUGAUACCCUCGACACUUGUGAUCCACAUCAAUCAAACCCUUGUGUUUCAUCUCAAUCUCCGUAGUUCAUAUGCUCAUAUGCAAGUAUAAUUUCCUCUUCCUCUCUAAUCUCCAAUCAAGCCUCUCCCAUGGUGCAAGAAGGAUAAGAAAUGAAGCUUGAGCUUCGUGGAUGCAAGUUUGAGACCCCCAUAAGUAAGCUCAACAUCAUCUCCCUAUCGAUCUUUCUCUCAAUCUCAAAAUCUUGAAUAGAGUACCCACACUAGAGGCAUGAAUGUUGACCUCACCGAUUAGGCAAAUACGGUUUGAAGGCAGCGGGCGCGGUGACCUUGCCGGUGUGCUGCAGCCCUGCAUGUAGGUUAGCACUCAUGUACUC
rnacentral:lncRNA from 1 species